UACGUAGGGGGCAAGCGUUGUCCGGAAUCAUUGGGCGUAAAGCGCGUGUAGGCGGUUCGGUAAGUCUGCUGUGAAAGUCCAGGGCUCAACCCUGGGAUGCCGGUGGAUACUGUCGGGCUAGAGUGCGGAAGAGGCGAGUGGAAUUCCCGGUGUAGCGGUGAAAUGCGCAGAUAUCGGGAGGAACACCUAUUGCGAAGGCAGCUCGCUGGGACGUAACUGACGCUGAGACGCGAAAGCGUGGGGAGCAAACAGG
rnacentral:rRNA from 1 species